UACGAAGGGGGCUAGCGUUGCUCGGAAUCACUGGGCGUAAAGCGCACGUAGGCGGAUUGCUAAGUCAGGGGUGAAAUCCUGGAGCUCAACUCCAGAACUGCCCUUGAUACUGGAGAGCUUGAGUCCGGAAGAGGUGAGUGGAACUCCGAGUGUAGAGGUGAAAUUCGUAGAUAUUCGGAAGAACACCAGUGGCGAAGGCGGCUCACUGGUCCGGUACUGACGCUGAGGUGCGAAAGCGUGGGGAGCAAACAGG
rnacentral:rRNA from 1 species